AGGCAGUGAAAAUCUAAAAUAUUGUCCAAAGAAAUCUUGAACAAACACAGUUCUUAUAGUGCACAAAUGCCAGUAUCACAUCCUACACAGUAUGCUUCUGUUCAAUAGAAAUAACAGUAAUAACAGCAAUAGUGUCAAGAUGUGGAUAUAAUGUAACCAGUAUUGGUAUAAAUCAAUAUAAGUGUCGGAUAGCAGCAGAAAAUAGCAAUUACUCAUAUAC